rnacentral:lncRNA from 1 species
GUUCUAACAGAAUUUAAAUUUUGCUAGAAAAGGUGUUUCUUCUGUUUAACAUUCCGAAUAUAUUCUGUAAAAAUAAUGCCACGUCCUGUAAAUAAAGAAAUCAGAAAAUUAAUUGUUUUCCAUAGACGAAACGGAAGGAGAAUAAAAGAUAUAGCAAAUAUUUUCGAUAUAAGUUGCCGAACAGUAAUAACUAUUUGUAAAAAUGAAACAGAGGAACCGUCUCUCCGAAAAAGUCCUCAGGCCAUCCAUGGAGCACAUCUAGCAAUGAAGAUCAGCAGUUAUGCUCCAUGAGUGAAACAAAUCCAUUUUUAUCAGCUAAAGCUACAAGAAGAGAAAUGAC